rnacentral:rRNA from 1 species
AGUGAACGCUGGCGGUAGGCCUAACACAUGCAAGUCGAACGGCAGCACAGUAAGAGCUUGCUCUUACGGGUGGCGAGUGGCGGACGGGUGAGGAAUACAUCGGAAUCUACUUUUUCGUGGAGGAUAACGUAGGGAAACUUACGCUAAUACCGCAUACGACCUACGGGUGAAAGCAGGGGAUCUUCGGACCUUGCGCGAUUGAAUGAGCCGAUGUCGGAUUAGCUAGUUGGCGGGGUAAAGGCCCACCAGGGCGACGAUCCGUAGCUGGUCUGAGAGGAUGGUCAGCCACACUGGAACUGAGACACGGUCCAGACUCCUACGGGAGGCAGCAGUGGGGAAUAUUGGACAAUGGGCGCAAGCCUGAUCCAGCCAUACCGCGUGGGUGAAGAAGGCCUUCGGGUUGUAAAGCCCUUUUGUUGGGAAAGAAAAGCAGCAGGUUAAUACCCCGCUGUUCUGACGGUAACCAAAGAAUAAGCACCGGCUAACUUCGUG